GCAUGUAAAAACAAGUGAAGUUAGAAGCUACAUAAGGAGAUUUAUGUCCAUAGGACAAACUUAGUGUAGGCUCCCAUGGGGGGGUUGAAAAAGAAGUUUCAUAUGUUGAGAAAACCAUUUUAAAAGUGACGGAUAUUGUGUAGCUUGAGAAUGACACCCAGUCAUGGCCUGAAAAUGAUAAAGGUCACUGAAGAGUUAUCAGAAACAAUAGGGAGGUGGAUAGGUUAAGAAAAUUAUUGAACUGAAAAUCAGUGACAAUUGUAACUCUGAAGAAAAUGAUCAUAGUGUUUGCUUUCAAGUAUAUGUCAAGAAGUCUGAAAUAGAGAUAAAAGUAUGCACACCCUUUACUUCUAUCCAUUAAUAUGAAUAUAUUUGACAUAAUAACAUCAUGCAUAUGUUUUGAUUAAGCAAUAAAAUAAUGCUAAUGAUUAUAGGUAGUCAAUCAAAAUACUAAUUUUUUUCAUAGAUUAAGUUUCUUAGGUGUGUGGCACAGAACACACAUUACAGUAUGGAGCAUAUUUGUUCUCUACUGACAGGUAAAAAUGAAUUCAUUGUUAUCCUUGUCCCAGGGCCAGGAAUGCUUCUGGUGGAAGACAGUAUUUGUAUGUGCUGUACUUGCUCCAUACCUGGGGAAUCUACACAGAAGCCAAACAUUUGUUUUAUUUUCUGGCAAGUGUGUGAAAUCUUGGGACUACUCAGAAGCAAAGCAUAUCAUCAAAAAGAGGACUUGACUAAGUCUAAUAUUCUGAGGAAAGUCUCUGCAAUUUGAUCUGUGUAUUGAUUACUAAAGGGCAAAGGAAAAACACACAAAAAGCUUCCGCUUAUUUUGUAUGGAGAAAGUACAAACCCUUGGAUCAAUCUCACAACAAGACAAGAGUCUUUGGGGAUAUUAAGUUCCCACUUUGUCUCACAGUCAGUUUCUUCAUGGCCCUGGAUAAAGGAAUGUUAUGAUGUACAUCUCAUUUCUAAGAAGCUGUGGAGAGUCUCCCAAAAGAGGGAAAAGAAAAGAAGAACACACAUGGAGAAAAAAAUAAAUUUGCAUAGACUCAUAUAAUUAGCAAUAUUAAAUAUUGAAAAAAUCGAGAAAAAUGACUGCUCAACAGCAAAUUAAUUCCAUGCCUUGCUAAUCUUUUCACUUCCAAUUAUAAUCCUUUGUGACCAUGCUGAGAUAUUGGAUGUCAGAUGUCUUAUGCCAUAUGUUUUGUCCCAUAUUUACUGAUUAGAUUAUUUCAAGGCCCUUUAAAACUUGACUUUGAAAAGUCUUUGGCAUGCUGAGGAGCACCCUCUAUUCAGGU
ensembl:lincRNA